AAAGGAGUAGGUUCAGUAAGACCCCUUUUUGGCCCCAAAAUAUAACAGUUUUACAAAAUUGUGAAAAUGUAAUCUUUUAGCUAUUCAUUGGAAAGUAUAAUGCUUUUGCUACAUAAAUAUGAUCUGUUUUUGACAAUGCACAUAUAUCGGGUCCUAGCAUCAUAAAGUCACAAUUUUAGCAUUUUAGUUAAAUUUUAGAUGGUUCCGUCCUAAAUGAAAGUGGCCGCAUUCGUGUUCAUUCAUAAUAUUGAAAUGUAAGUUGUAUUUGACA
rnacentral:lncRNA from 1 species